UUUAAAGAGAGUUUGAUCCUGGCUCAGGACGAACGCUGGCGGCGUGCCUAAUACAUGCAAGUCGAACGAACGGAGGAAGAGCUUGCUCUUCCAAAGUUAGUGGCGGACGGGUGAGUAACACGUGGGCAACCUGCCUGUAAGUUGGGGAUAACUCCGGGAAACCGGGGCUAAUACCGAAUGAUAAAGUUUGGCGCAUGCCAUGCUUUUGAAAGAUGGUUUCGGCUAUCGCUUACAGAUGGGCCCGCGGUGCAUUAGCUAGUUGGUAGGGUAAUGGCCUACCAAGGCAACGAUGCAUAGCCGACCUGAGAGGGUGAUCGGCCACACUGGG
rnacentral:rRNA from 1 species